UCCGGAGUUACUGGGCGUAAAGGGCGUGUAGGCGGUUUGUUAAGUCUGGCGUGAAAGCUCUCGGCUAAACCGGGAGAGGUCGUUGGAUACUGGCAAACUUGAGGACGGUAGAGGCGUGUGGAAUUCCGGGUGUAGUGGUGAAAUGCGUAGAGAUCCGGAGGAACACCAGUGGCGAAGGCGACACGCUGGGCCGUACCUGACGCUAAAGCGCGACAGCAUGGGGAGCAAACGGG
rnacentral:rRNA from 1 species